rnacentral:lncRNA from 1 species
UUGACACCUCACUUUUUCUUUUCUUUUAUUUUUUGUCUUUUUUUUUUUUACAUCAUCAUCCAAUAACAUUAACAUGUGGAAAUUCUAAAGAGUAAACUAUUUUAUCAUAUGAGAUUUAAAAACUUUCAAUAGGAAAGCCUUGUCUUGUUAAGAGUUGUAGAAACAUUUAAUAGGAAAAGUUGUUUGAAUGGGGAGAGUUCAUGUAAAAUGUAUAAGACUAAAACUACAACAGUUAUUUACUUGUUUUUCUUUUUG